ACUUUUUACUGUUUUAUUUAUUUCUAUCUCUGAUUGAGUGAUUGAUUGAUUGACUUAUUGAUUUUAGGGUCCUCCUGGGAUUCCUGGAAGAAAUGGUAGUCCUGGGAUUCCUGGACAACCAGGUACCCCUGGUUCUCCUGGCCCGCCUGGAAUUUGUGAAUCAUGCCCUACUGGUAAUCAGAACUAUUCUCCUCAAUUUGAUUCAUAUGAUGUCAAGGCUGGAGGAGUAGGAGCAGGACUUGGAGGCUAUCCUGGGCCAGCUGUACGUACAAAUGUUUCUUACAGUUUAGAGAAUUACUCAGCCUUGCAAUUUGUUCAGUCUUGAAU
rnacentral:lncRNA from 1 species